GCUACAUAGUCAUCCUGAAAUUUCCUUUCUUUUUUUUUUUUUUUGAGAUGGAGUCUCUCUGUCAUCCAGGAUGGAGGGAAAUGGCAUGAUUUCGGCUCACUGUAAACUCUGCCUCCGGGUUCAAGUGAUUCUCCUGCUUCAGCCUCCAGAGUAGCUGGGACUACAGGCACCCACCACCGUGCCCAGCUAAUUUUUGUAUUUUUGUAAAGAUAGGGUUUCACCAUGUUGGCCAGGCUGGUCUUGAACUCCUGACCUCAGAUGAUCCAACUGCCUUGGGCUCCCCAAAGUGCUGGGAUUACAGGCAUGAGCCAGCACGCCCAACCUGAAGCCUUGCUUUCCAAAGACACUUGAUGACAAGUAUCUACAGGAUAUAAGAGUUGGCCAACUGUCCCACUGCUCUUUUCAAAAGGAAGAAGACAUUCACUAUUUACCCCCAGAAGAUCUGGACUGGGGAAGGGAAGAGAAUGACGAAUGGCUUAUGAGUAGAUGCUGUAAGUCACUUACGUGGCUAACUCCGGCAGCAUUUUGCUCAGGCAUUUCCUAAAUCUUGCAGCCGGCAUCCAUCUUUCCCAGCAUCAUGAGAGGCAGCAGUCAGGAGCACGGACGAUGGAGUCUGCACACCUUGGUUUGGAUUCAGGUGCCUCCUUCUACGAGCUCGGUGGCCGUGGGCAAGUAACUUUCCCUUGUUGAGCCUCAGUUUCCGCAUCUCAAGGAAAUCUACAACGUUACAGACUCCACGGCAAGGCCGCUCUGAAGAUUAUGAGUUAACAUCUGUCAAGUGCCAAGAGAGUGCCUG
rnacentral:lncRNA from 13 species